CCUACGGGACGCAGCAGUGAGGAAUAUUGGUCAAUGGGCGCGAGCCUGAACCAGCCAAGUCGCGUGAGGGAAGACGGUCCUAUGGAUUGUAAACCUCUUUUGUCGGGGAGCAAAAGACGCCACGCGUGGCGUUCCGAGAGUACCCGAAGAAACAGCAUCGGCUAACUCCGUGCCAGCAGCCGCGGUAAUACGGAGGAUGCGAGCGUUAUCCGGAUUUAUUGGGUUUAAAGGGUGCGCAGGCGGAAGAUCGAGUCAGCGGUAAAAUUGAGAGGCUCAACCUCUUCGAGCCGUUGAAACUGGUUGUCUUGAGUGAGUGAGAAGUAUGCGGAAUGCGUGGUGUAGCGGUGAAAUGCAUAGAUAUCACGCAGAACUCCGAUUGCGAAGGCAGCAUACCGGCGCUCAACUGACGCUCAUGCACGAAAGUGGGGGUAUCGAACAGGAUUAGAUACCCUUGUAGUC
rnacentral:rRNA from 1 species